AGGGUUUCGGAGAUCGGCAGAGGAAGAGAAGAGAGAAUUAAUCGUGGAGGCCGGGUGGAAGGGCGGAGGGUUUGGAUCUCCAACGAAGACGGAGUAGCAGGGGAUUAGCCGGGGCCUUUUGCCCUCGUCGCACGCGUUGCUUGUCGGUUUGCCGCACUCGGUCUCUGGCAGUUCUGCCACCAUCCUCUCCGCAGAAAAAACAGAGGACAUACUGCAAAAGGUGUCUGUUAAUAGGAAAGGAUCUUCUUCCUUUGUUUGAUCAUUUUGAAGUAUAGAGCCGUAGAUUGUUAUUAAAUCUGUUGUUGAAAUGGUUUUCAGAAAGGUUGAACCAUAUAUAUGGAGGUAUUGUGACAAAAUGGGGUGUCAUUAUGGCAUGAGAUACUGAUAGCCUAUUUGUAGUGAAAGAAAAAAGACAAGCAAAGCAUAUAAAAACAGUACACAUUCAAUCUGAUUCGUUGCUCCUUAUCAGAAUUUUACAAAAGAAAUCUGCUAUUCCUUGAGCUGUUUGAAGUAUUGUGCAUAGUAUCUGGGCCCUUUUGGGCAAUUGGAUGUACAUAUUAUCGUCUAUGUGUUUAGAGAACAAAAUGAAGUAGCCAAUUGGUUGGCUAAACAUGCCAGAGAGAGGA